UACGUAGGGGGCAAGCGUUGUCCGGAUUUAUUGGGCGUAAAGAGCGUGUAGGCGGCUUGGUAGGUCCGCUGUGAAAACUCGAGGCUCAACCUCGAGAUGUCGGCGGAAACCACUUGGCUAGAGUCCGGAAGAGGAGAGUGGAAUUCCCCGGUGUAGCGGUGAAAUGCGCAGAUAUCGGGGAAGAACACCUAUGGCGAAGGCAGCUCUCUGGGGACGGUACUGGACGCU
rnacentral:rRNA from 1 species